rnacentral:rRNA from 1 species
AUUGAACGCUGGCGGCAGGCCUAACACAUGCAAGUCGAACGAGUGGCGGACGGGUGAGUAAUGUCUGGGAAACUGCCUGAUGGAGGGGGAUAACUACUGGAUACGGUAGCUAAUACCGCAUACCAUCAGAUGUGCCCAGAUGGGAUUAGCUAGUUGUUGGGGUAACGGCUCACCACGGCGACGAUCCCUAGCUGGUCUGAGAGGAUGACCAGCCACACAGGAACUGAGACACGGUCCAGACUCCUCCGGGAGGCAACAGUUGGAAAUAUUGCACAAUGGGCGCAAGCCUGAUGCAGCUAUGCAGCUUGUAUGAAGAAGGCAUUCGGGUUGUAAAGUACUUUCAGCGGGGAGGCGUUACCCGCAGAAGAAGCACCGGCUAACUCCGUGCCAGCAGCCGCGGUAAUAC